rnacentral:rRNA from 1 species
UGGUCUCAGUUCGGACUGUAGGCUGCAACUCGCCUACACGAAGUUGGAAUUGCUAGUAAUCGUGGAUCAGCAUGCCACGGUGAAUACGUUCCCGGGUCUUGUACACACCGCCCGUCACACCAUGGGAGCUGGUAACACCCGAAGUCAGUAGUCUAACCGCAAGGAGGACGCUGCCGAAGGUGGGAUUAGCGACUGGGGUGAAGUCGUAACAAGGUAGC